rnacentral:rRNA from 1 species
CCUACGGGGGGCUGCAGUAGGGAAUAUUGCUCAAUGGGCGAAACCCUGAAGCAGCAACGCCGCGUGGAGGAUGAAGGUUUUCGGAUUGUAAACUCCUUUUGUUAGAGAAGAUAAUGCCGGUAUCUAACGAAUAAGCACCGGCUAACUCCGUGCCAGCAGCCGCGGUAAUACGGAGGGUGCAAGCGUUACUCGGAAUCACUGGGCGUAAAGAGCGCGUAGGCGGGAUAGCAAGUCAGAUGUGAAAGCCUAUGGCUUAACCAUAGAACUGCAUUUGAAACUGUUAUUCUUGAGUAUGGGAGAGGUAGGUGGAAUUCGUGGUGUAGGGGUGGAAUGCGUAGAGAUAAGGAGGAAUA